UCCAGACUCCUACGGGAGGCAGCAGUGGGGGAUAUUGCACAAUGGGGGAAACCCUGAUGCAGCGACGCCGCGUGAGUGAAGAAGCAUUUCGGUGUGUAAAGCUCUAUCAGCAGGGAAGAAGAAUGACGGUACCUGACUAAGAAGCCCCGGCUAACUACGUGCCAGCAGCCGCGGUAAUACGUAGGGGGCAAGCGUUAUCCGGAUUUACUGGGUGUAAAGGGAGCGUAGACGGCAAUGCAAGCCAGAUGUGAAAACCCGCAGCUCAACUGGGGGAGUGCAUUUGGAACUGUGUAGCUGGAGUGCAGGAGAGGUAAGCGGAAUUCCUGGUGUAGCGGUGAAAUGCGUAGAUAUCAGGAGGAACACCAGUGGCGAAGGCGGCUUACUGGACUGUAACUGACGUUGAGGCUCGAAAGCGUGGGGAGCAAACAGGAUUAGAUACCCUAGUA
rnacentral:rRNA from 1 species